AGGGAAAUAGCUCAGUGGUAGAGCGUGUGCUUAGCACGCACAAGAUCCUGGUGUUCAACUCCCAGUAACUCCA
rnacentral:tRNA from 1 species